rnacentral:lncRNA from 1 species
GUUCAAAAUGUAAACAAACCGUUUGUUUACAUUACGGACUUGACUUCCCCUUUAAUAUAAUACAAUCAGAAAAUAUCGUCGUUAAGUCUCUAUUGUUUAUCGGAUAACUUAACAGUUUCAUGAUCUUUUUUGCCAACCAAAUCAAGUAUAAUAUGUUACAUGCAGUGGUUUCAUAUUUGAUAAAACACUUCCUACUUAGUAUUCCUUAUAUAAAGAAUACUAAGGGGCCAUUCACAAAGGAUGUCCGGCCAAAUGAUGGAUUUUCAGACCCCCCUCCCCCCCUUGUCCGGCAUUGUCCGAAUUAGUGACCCCUCCCCCCGGACAUCCGCCAUGCCUCGCAAAAACUCACGCAUUCUUGUAUAUAUCAAGAGUAAAAAACUUUUACUUUUAGAACUUUUUUAUAACUGUAAAUGUGAACACAAAAACAUAUAAAUUACUAAUUCAAACAAAAUCUAGUGUUAACCGCAUAGUCAAAAUGCCAAUUUCACAAUGGGAAGGACUGCUCAAAAUAGAGGGAAAAAAGAAAUUUGUUUUUGAAUUUUUUUAAAUUUCGGACAUGCGGAUUGCUAAAACCCCCCCUCCCCCCUAUGUCCGAGUUUGUCCUGAUUUUCCAAACCCCCCUCCCCCCCCCCUCGGCUCGGACAUCCUUUGUGAAUGGCCCCUAAUUGUUUUUGAAACCUUUCAAUAAACUCGCGACUCGUGUUUUAUUGUGUCUAAAACCACUCGCGCGCAGGGCCGUGCCGACCGGGGUGUGUGGGGGUGUAACACCCCCCCCCCCCAAUAAUUGCUCAUGUGGGCAAUUUCAGGUAAAUCCAGGUAGAUUUGCAGAAGAAAUUCGGGUAAAUGAACACAAAUUCAGGUAAUUUCUAUGCCCAGAGAAAGUUAAUUAACAAAAAUAAGUGUGAAUUUGGAGAAGAAUGAGCUAAAUUGACAAAAAUUUUAGAGAAUGGUACCAAACUUUCGGAUUUAAGAAAAAAAAGUUGGAUAAAUGGAGAAAAUUUGGUAAUGCCGGGAAAAAUUGUUCCCCGUGGAUAUUCGUCCGACACCGGAUCUUCCUGCUUCACGGCUAUUCAUCCGACAACGCUUUAAAAGCUAACACUAAACCACUAAAAGGGUUGCGUUGUUUCUUAAGAACGAAGCAACAACAUAUUCGAUACGCUAUACGUUUCGUACGCGGUGCGUAAGCGAAAAUCACGAAGAAAAAAAAAUAUAAAAAAAAAUAAUAAAAUAGUGGCGCGAGCAGGAAUCGAUCCCAGAAUUUGGCGCACGCAAUA